rnacentral:rRNA from 1 species
AACGCGAAGAACCUUACCUACUCUUGACAUCCAGAGAACUUAGCAGAGAUGCUUUGGUGCCUUCGGGAACUCUGAGACAGGUGCUGCAUGGCUGUCGUCAGCUCGUGUUGUGAAAUGUUGGGUUAAGUCCCGUAACGAGCGCAACCCUUAUCCUUUGUUGCCAGCGGUCCGGCCGGGAACUCAAAGGAGACUGCCAGUGAUAAACUGGAGGAAGGUGGGGAUGACGUCAAGUCAUCAUGGCCCUUACGAGUAGGGCUACACACGUGCUACAAUGGCAUAUACAAAGAGAAGCGACCUCGCGAGAGCAAGCGGACCUCAUAAAGUAUGUCGUAGUCCGGAUUGGAGUCUGCAACUCGACUCCAUGAAGUCGGAAUCGCUAGUAAUCGUGGAUCAGAAUGCCACGGUGAAUACGUUCCCGGGUCUUGUACACACCG